GACGAACGCUGGCGGCGUGCCUAAUACAUGCAAGUCGAACGAACUCUGGUAUUGAUUGGUGCUUGCAUCAUGAUUUACAUUUGAGUGAGUGGCGAACUGGUGAGUAACACGUGGGAAACCUGCCCAGAAGCGGGGGAUAACACCUGGAAACAGAUGCUAAUACCGCAUAACAACUUGGACCGCAUGGUCCGAGUUUGAAAGAUGGCUUCAGCUAUCACUUUUGGAUGGUCCCGCGGCGUAUUAGCUAGAUGGUGGGGUAACGGCUCACCAUGGCAAUGAUACGUAGCCGACCUGAGAGGGUAAUCGGCCACAUUGGGACUGAGACACGGCCCAAACUCCUACGGGAGGCAGCAGUAGGGAAUCUUCCACAAUGGACGAAAGUCUGAUGGAGCAACGCCGCCUGAGUGAAGAAGGGUUUCGGCUCGUAAAACUCUGUUGUUAAAGAAGAACAUAUCUGAGAGUAACUGUUCAGGUAUUGACGGUAUUUAACCAGAAAGCCACGGCUAACUACGUGCCAGCAGCCGCGGUAAUACGUAUGUGGCAAGCGUUGUCCGGAUUUAUUGGGCGUAAAGCGAGCGCAGGCGGUUUUUUAAGUCUGAUGUGAAAGCCUUCGGCUCAACCGAAGAAGUGCAUCGGAAACUGGGAAACUUGAGUGCAGAAGAGGACAGUGGAACUCCAUGUGUAGCGGUGAAAAUGCGUAGAUAUAUGGAAGAACACCAGUGGCGAAGGCGGCUGUCUGGUCUGCAACUGACGCUGAGGCUCGAAAGUAUGGGUAGCAAACAGGAUUAGAUACCCUGGUAGUCCAUACCGUAAACGAUGAAUGCUAAGUGUUGGAGGGUUUCCGCCCUUCAGUGCUGCAGCUAACGCAUUAAGCAUUCCGCCUGGGGAGUACGGCCGCAAGGCUGAAACUCAAAGGAAUUGACGGGGGCCCGCACAAGCGGUGGAGCAUGUGGUUUAAUUGGAAGCUACGCGAAGAACCUUACCAGGUCUUGACAUACUAUGCAAAUCUAAGAGAUUAGACGUUUCCUUCGGGGACAUGGAUACAGGUGGUGCAUGGUUGUCGUCAGCUCGUGUCGUGAGAUGUUGGGUUAAGUCCCGCAACGAGCGCAACCCUUAUUAUCAGUUGCCAGCAUUAAGUUGGGCACUCUGGUGAGACUGCCGGUGACAAACCGGAGGAAGGUGGGGAUGACGUCAAAUCAUCAUGCCCCUUAUGACCUGGGCUACACACGUGCUACAAUGGAUGGUACAACGAGUUGCGAACUCGCGAGAGUAAGCUAAUCUCUUAAAGCCAUUCUCAGUUCGGAUUGUAGGCUGCAACUCGCCUACAUGAAGUCGGAAUCGCUAGUAAUCGCGGAUCAGCAUGCCGCGGUGAAUACGUUCCCGGGCCUUGUACACACCGCCCGUCACACCAUGAGAGUUUGUAACACCCAAAGUCGGUGGGGUAACCUUUUAGGAACCAGCCGCCUAAGGUGGGACAGAUGAUUAGGGUG
rnacentral:rRNA from 2 species